GCAGCGUGUAACCAUUUACAAAUAUUUUCUAGAAAGUGAUUCAAUAUCUAUGGCAGUUGAAAGCAUCCUUCUUGGGAUACUGUAAAACCUAGAGCAGUCAAAUCUUUCCUCUCAGGUGCUGAGCUGUGAGAAAAGCCUCAGGAUGUGGCCUGUGCUGCCUUUGCCAGAAGAGUGCUGUCAGGAAGCAGGCAGAUCGGAAGGUAAUUCGGAAGCAUGUGCCUGCAACUCUUUAAUUAGCAAGAUUCUGUGUGAGCUCUGCCACUACCUGCCUGCGAGUGCCUGCGCUAUAAAUGGCUUGGACGGUCUUCCCUCAGAGAACUGAGACACAGGCAAUGGGUGGAGCACACGUUGCGCUCUAGGCAGCGUCAGAACUAUGUGCGCAUGCUCAGCAG
rnacentral:lncRNA from 1 species